GCCUUCGAGGUGUAAUGGUCAGCACAUUGAGCCGGUAAUUCAGAGGUCCGUGGUUCGAUCCCCGGCGAGAGCA
rfam:Stegodyphus mimosarum contig20570, whole genome shotgun sequence.